rnacentral:rRNA from 1 species
GACGUAGGAGGCGAGCGUUAUCCGGAUUCACUGGGCGUAAAGCGCAUGUAGGCGGUUGAUUAAGUCCGUUGUUAAAGCCCCUGGCUCAACUGGGGGAGGUCAAUGGAGACUAUUCGACUUGAGGGCAACAGAGGCACAUGGAACUCCCGGUGUAGCGGUGGAAUGCGUAGAGAUCGGGAAGAACACCCGUGGCGAAGGCGGUGUGCUGGGUUGCAACUGACGCUGAGAUGCGAAAGCGUGGGGAGCGAACAGG